rnacentral:rRNA from 1 species
GACGAACGCUGGCGGCGUGCUUAACACAUGCAAGUCGAACGGAAAGGCCCUGCUUUUGUGGGGUGCUCGAGUGGCGAACGGGUGAGUAACACGUGAGUAACCUGCCCUUGACUUUGGGAUAACUUCAGGAAACUGGGGCUAAUACCGGAUAGGAGCUCCUGCUGCAUGGUGGGGGUUGGAAAGUUUCGGCGGUUGGGGAUGGACUCGCGGCUUAUCAGCUUGUUGGUGGGGUAGUGGCUUACCAAGGCUUUGACGGGUAGCCGGCCUGAGAGGGUGACCGGCCACAUUGGGACUGAGAUACGGCCCAGACUCCUACGGGAGGCAGCAGUGGGGAAUAUUGCACAAUGGGCGGAAGCCUGAUGCAGCAACGCCGCGUGCGGGAUGACGGCCUUCGGGUUGUAAACCGCUUUCGCCUGUGACGAAGCGUGAGUGACGGUAAUGGGUAAAGAAGCACCGGCUAACUACGUGCCAGCAGCCGCGGUGAUACGUAGGGUGCGAGCGUUGUCCGGAUUUAUUGGGCGUAAAGGGCUCGUAGGUGGUUGAUCGCGUCGGAAGUGUAAUCUUGGGGCUUAACCCUGAGCGUGCUUUCGAUACGGGUCGACUUGAGGAAGGUAGGGGAGAAUGGAAUUCCUGGUGGAGCGGUGGAAUGCGCAGAUAUCAGGAGGAACACCAGUGGCGAAGGCGGUUCUCUGGGCCUUUCCUGACGCUGAGGAGCGAAAGCGUGGGGAGCGAACAGGCUUAGAUACCCUGGUAGUCCACGCUGUAAACGGUGGGUACUAGGUGUGGGGUCCAUUCCACGGGUUCCGUGCCGUAGCUAACGCUUUAAGUACCCCGCCUGGGGAGUACGGCCGCAAGGCUAAAACUCAAAGGAAUUGACGGGGCCCCGCACAAGCGGCGGAGCAUGCGGAUUAAUUCGAUGCAACGCGUAGAACCUUACCUGGGUUUGACAUGGAUCGGGAGUGCUCAGAGAUGGGUGUGCCUCUUUUGGGGUCGGUUCACAGGUGGUGCAUGGCUGUCGUCAGCUCGUGUCGUGAGAUGUUGGGUUAAGUCCCGCAACGAGCGCAACCCUUGUUCACUGUUGCCAGCACGUUAUGGUGGGGACUCAGUGGAGACCGCCGGGGUCAACUCGGAGGAAGGUGGGGAUGACGUCAAGUCAUCAUGCCCCUUAUGUCCAGGGCUUCACGCAUGCUACAAUGGCUGGUACAGAGAGUGGCGAGCCUGUGAGGAUGAGCGAAUCUCGGAAAGCCGGUCUCAGUUCGGAUCGGGGUCUGCAACUCGACCUCAUGAAGUCGGAGUCGCUAGUAAUCGCAGAUCAGCAACGCUGCGGUGAAUACGUUCCCGGGGCU